rnacentral:rRNA from 1 species
UAAGCAUAUCAAUAAGCGGAGGAAAAGAAACCAACAGGGAUUGCCUUAGUAACGGCGAGUGAAGCGGCAAAAGCUCAGAUUUGAAAUCUCUUUUUUUAAUAUUUAAUGAAAGCGAAUUGUAAUCUGUAGAAGGUUGAAUGGCUGAACGACUAAUUUAAAUUUCCUGGAAUAGAAUAUCAUAGAGGGUGAGAAUCCCGUGAUUAUUAGUUUCUGAAGCCAAUUAAUUCACCUUUCGACGAGUCGAGUUGUUUGGGAAUGCAGCUCUAAAUGGGUGGUAAAUUUCAUCUAAAGCUAAAUAUCUGCCAGAGACCGAUAGCGAACAAGUAGAGUGAUCGAAAGAUGAAAAGCACUUUGAAAAGAGAGUUAAAUAGUACGUGAAAUUGUUGAAAGGGAAGCGCUUGCAAUUAGACUUGAUGAUUUAAUUUCAACUUGCUUAUGGGUGAGGUGCAUUUAUUAUUUUAUCAAGCCAGCAUCAGUUUGAAAAGAUUAAUAAAAAUAGAUGGAAUGUAGCAAACUCUUCGGAGUUUGUGUUAUAGACGUUUAUAUCAUUAAUUUAUUUUAGACUGAGGUCUGCCCUUUGGGAAGGAUGCUGGCAUAAUGAUUGUAAGCGACCCGUCUUGAA